GUCGAGCGGAGUUUUGUGCGGAAGAUUUCGGUUGGAAGUAUAGAACUUAGCGGCGGACGGGUGAGGAACGCGUGGGUAACCUGCCCUGUACAGGGGGAUAACACAGAGAAAUCUGUGCUAAAACCGCAUAAGCUCACGGGACCGCAUGGUCUUGGGAGAAAAACUCCGGUGGUACAGGAUGGGCCCGCGUCUGAUUAGCUAGUUGGAGAGGUAAGAGCUCACCAAGGCGACGAUCAGUAGCCGGUCUGAGAGGAUGGACGGCCACAUUGGGACUGAGACACGGCCCAAACUCCUACGGGAGGCAGCAGUGGGGAAUAUUGCACAAUGGGGGAAACCCUGAUGCAGCGAUGCCGCGUGAAGGAAGAAGAUUUUCGGAUUGUAAACUUCUAUCAGCAAGGAAGAAAACGGACAGUACUUGAGUAAGAAGCCCCGGCUAACUACGUGCCAGCAGCCGCGGUAAUACGUAGGGGGCGAGCGUUAUCCGGAAUUACUGGGUGUAAAGGGUGCGUAGGCGGUACGGCAAGUUUGAUGUGAAACCCGCGGGCUUAACCCGAGGCAUGCAUCGAAAACUACUGAACUAGAGUGCAGGAGAGGGAAGCGGAAUUCCUAGUGUAGCGGUGAAAUGCGUAGAUAUUAGGAAGAACACCAGUGGCGAAGGCGGCUUUCUGGACUGCAACUGACGCUGAGGCACGAAAGCGUGGGGAGCAAACAGGAUUAGAUACCCUGGUAGUCCACGCCGUAACGAUGAAUGCUAGGUGUUGGGUUCUGAAGGACUCGGUGCCGCAUUUAACGCAAUAAGCAUUCCACCUGGGGAGUACGACCGCAAGGUUGAAACUCAAAGGAAUUGACGGGGGCCCGCA
rnacentral:rRNA from 2 species